rnacentral:rRNA from 1 species
UGGGGAAUAUUGCACAAUGGGCGCAAGCCUGAUGCAGCCAUGCCGCGUGUGUGAAGAAGGCCUUCGGGUUGUAAAGCACUUUCAGCGAGGAGGAAGGUGGUGAACUUAAUACGUUCAUCAAUUGACGUUACUCGCAGAAGAAGCACCGGCUAACUCCGUGCCAGCAGCCGCGGUAAUACGGAGGGUGCAAGCGUUAAUCGGAAUUACUGGGCGUAAAGCGCACGCAGGCGGUUUGUUAAGUCAGAUGUGAAAUCCCCGGGCUCAACCUGGGAACUGCAUUUGAAACUGGCAAGCUAGAGUCUCGUAGAGGGGGGUAGAAUUCCAGGUGUAGCGGUGAAAUGCGUAGAGAUCUGGAGGAAUACCGGUGGCGAAGGCGGCCCCCUGGACGAAGACUGACGCUCAGGUGCGAAAGCGUGGGGAGCAAACAGAUUAGAUACCCUGGUAGUCACGCUGUAAACGAUGUCGAUUUU